UUGACCUCGAUCAGUACCUGCCCCG
rnacentral:rRNA from 1 species